rnacentral:rRNA from 1 species
GACGAACGCUGGCGGCGUGCUUAACACAUGCAAGUCGAACGGAAAGGCCUCAGCUUGCUGGGGUACUCGAGUGGCGAACGGGUGAGUAACACGUGGGUGAUCUGCCUUGCACUCUGGGAUAAGCUUGGGAAACUGGGUCUAAUACCGGAUAUGAACUGCCUUUAGUGUGGUGGUUGGAAAGUUUUUUCGGUGCAAGAUGAGCUCGCGGCCUAUCAGCUUGUUGGCGGGGUAAUGGCCUACCAAGGCGUCGACGGGUAGCCGGCCUGAGAGGGUGUACGGCCACAUUGGGACUGAGAUACGGCCCAGACUCCUACGGGAGGCAGCAGUGGGGAAUAUUGCACAAUGGGCGGAAGCCUGAUGCAGCGACGCCGCGUGGGGGAUGACGGCCUUCGGGUUGUAAACUCCUUUCGACAGGGACGAAGCUUUUUGUGACGGUACCUGUAUAAGAAGCACCGGCUAACUACGUG